rnacentral:rRNA from 1 species
GACGAACGUUGGCGGCGUGCCUAAUACAUGCAAGUCGAGCGAGCGGAUCUAACAGAUUUACUUCGGUAAUGACGUUAGGAAAGCGAGCGGCGGAUGGGUGAGUAACACGUGGGGAACCUGCCCCAUAGUCUGGGAUACCACUUGGAAACAGGUGCUAAUACCGGAUAAGAAAGCAGAUCGCAUGAUCAGCUUUUAAAAGGCGGCGUAAGCUGUCGCUAUGGGAUGGCCCCGCGGUGCAUUAGCUAGUUGGUAAGGUAAAGGCUUACCAAGGCGAUGAUGCAUAGCCGAGUUGAGAGACUGAUCGGCCACAUUGGGACUGAGACACGGCCCAAACUCCUACGGGAGGCAGCAGUAGGGAAUCUUCCACAAUGGACGCAAGUCUGAUGGAGCAACGCCGCGUGAGUGAAGAAGGUUUUCGGAUCGUAAAGCUCUGUUGUUGGUGAAGAAGGAUAGAGGUAGUAACUGGCCUUUAUUUGACGGUAAUCAACCAGAAAGUCACGGCUAACUACGUGCCAGCAGCCGCGGUAAUACGUAGGUGGCAAGCGUUGUCCGGAUUUAUUGGGCGUAAAGCGAGCGCAGGCGGAAGAAUAAGUCUGAUGUGAAAGCCCUCGGCUUAACCGAGGAACUGCAUCGGAAACUGUUUUUCUUGAGUGCAGAAGAGGAGAGUGGAACUCCAUGUGUAGCGGUGGAAUGCGUAGAUAUAUGGAAGAACACCAGUGGCGAAGGCGGCUCUCUGGUCUGCAACUGACGCUGAGGCUCGAAAGCAUGGGUAGCGAACAGGAUUAGAUACCCUGGUAGUCCAUGCCGUAAACGAUGAGUGCUAAGUGCUGGGAGGUUUCCGCCUCUCAGUGCUGCAGCUAACGCAUUAAGCACUCCGCCUGGGGAGUACGACCGCAAGGUUGAAACCCAAAGGAGUUGACGGGGGCCCGCACAAGCGGUGGAGCAUGUGGUUUAAUUCGAAGCAACGCGAAGAACCUUACCAGGUCUUGACAUCUAGUGCCAUUUGUAGAGAUACAAAGUUCCCUUCGGGGACGCUAAGACAGGUGGUGCAUGGCUGUCGUCAGCUCGUGUCGUGAGAUGUUGGGUUAAGUCCCGCAACGAGCGCAACCCUUGUUAUUAGUUGCCAGCAUUAAGUUGGGCACUCUAAUGAGACUGCCGGUGACAAACCGGAGGAGGGUGGGGAUGACGUCAAGUCAUCAUGCCCCUUAUGACCUGGGCUACACACGUGCUACAAUGGGCAGUACAACGAGAAGCGAGCCUGCGAAGGCAAGCGAAUCUCUGAAAGCUGUUCUCAGUUCGGACUGCAGUCUGCAACUCGACUGCACGAAGCUGGAAUCGCUAGUAAUCGCGGAUCAGCACGCCGCGGUGAAUACGUCCCCGGGCCU